ensembl:lncRNA
AAGUUUACAUUUAUGCUGAAUUUUGGUCUGUGUUGGUUCAACCUGGUGUAGCAAGACAUAAGGUUCUUACAGCCAUUGUCCAGAGAAUAUGUGCUGCCGAAGCGAGCAUGGGAGCAAGCUCUUUCCUGGAUCUUCUGCCUGAAGGUAAAGGCUUUCUCUCAGAGUUUUAGGAGCCCAUCCAACCAUAAUUGUCACUGCACUCAUACUGCUUUGGGGAAGGCUGGAAUACAGGAAAAUAAAACAAAGCAGAGAGACUUCAUCAAAGCACACAGGCAUGUCACUGCCCCAUCCUCUGAUCAGAGAAAGCAUGUCUUUUGGAGAUUUAUGUCCACACUUGCUGCACAGUUCCAGGAUUUGGGUUGCCAUUGGUCCAGGCUGGGAAACUGCUGUUCAGGUUGUUCUUUGAGUUUUGGUUGCCCUUUUCAAUGUGCUUGCUCUUAUUUAUUUUCAAAAUCCACAGAUAGUUGCUUUUUUUGUAUUCUGUUGCAGGGGUUUUAUUUGUAAUUACCAGGAGAGUUAGGGUGUAGUGGGCUUAUACCAUCUUAAAUGGAAACAGAAAUUCCUUGGUUAGCUCUUAAACUGAGCUGAUACGUAUGAGAUCUGAUAUGUCCACUGUGUAUUGCGAUAUAAAGAUCUUUAAUCCACUAGAGUUACUUAUUUGUUAAACAACUUAUUCACUAAAUAUUUGAAUACCUACUGUGUUCUACACCUUAAAAAUGUGUUAGAAUAUGCUUAUAAAUAAGUCCCAGUUUCUACCCAAGUGUUUCAUUGUCCAGUACGGAAGACAGAUAUACCAGUAAUUGCAGUACAGAAUAAGUGCUAUCAUGGUUCAUGGAUUUUCUUUUAUGGGAGUGGGUAGAAACCCCAAGAAGUGAACGUCUUCAAAGGCUAAGCUCUUUGGAUCAGACGUCCCCUUGGUCUUCUGGCAGCUCCCUGUUGCUUUCUCUGCUUUUUAUUAAUAGUCCAGAAUAGUUCAUUCCAAGGUACAACUAGAUGUUUCUAUUUUACAAAGAGAUUUAAUGACAUAUAUUUUAAGCAAAAUUAAAAGUAAAUUCUCACCUAACUGGGUUAGUUGAGACAAAUUUAUUUAGAAACCAGGAAUCUUUUCCAAUUUCCUCUGCCAUCCUUACACCUUGGUCUCAGGAUCUUAUCUCUUGACCAAGAGUAAAUCCCCUCCAUUGCACAUUUUGAAAAUACAUCCUUUUUACCGUGGAGCCAGUUCCAAGCUGUAGAUAUGAAUUCUAUUUUAGCUUCUUUUCAGGGCUUCAAACCACCCCUGAUUUUAGUUAUCUAUCACUGCUUAAAAAAUUAUCCCUAAAACUUAGUAGCUUAAAAUAGCAAAUAUCUAUUAUCUCACAUUUUCUGUGAGCCAGAUGUUAGAUGCCUCUGGUUCUUAGUCCCUUGUGAGGUUUCAAUUAAGUUAUCAGAUGAGACCACAGUCUCAUGUGAGGCUCAGCUGGGGAAACAUGCACUUCUGAGUUUGUUCAGUUCCUCUUAGGGUGUUGGGCUGAGGGCUUCUGUUCUUUGCUAGCUGUUAAUGAGUUCUGUGCCAUGUAUCUACAGUUCCUUGCUGUCUCUUCAGAGGGCUGCUCUUCACAUGGCAGCUGACUUCUCUCAGGACAAAUGUGUGAGAGAGUGGGAGGACAUUAAAGACAGAAGCCGUGGUCUUUAUGGAACCUAACCCCAGUAAUAAGCCAUCACUUUUUGUCAUAUUCUGUUUGUUAAGAGGAAGCCACUAAUCCAGCCCACACUCAAAAUGAAAGGAUUGCAAAUCUUGACUGCUUGGAUCAGUGCAUUUCUUAUUUGCUUUGCCCAGGACUUCUCUAUUUUAAGUCAUGGGCUAAUAUAACCUUCAAAUGCUGACUCAAAGCUUCUCAAACUUCAUAGAUAUUUGUUUCUGUCCUUUCAUUUUGUUUAUUCAUCUUACCUUUGAACUAUUUCUUUUCUAGUUUGGAUUCAAUCAAAUUAGAUCCCCCUUUAAAAAGAAUUCAUUUGAAUCAGUUCUGAUGAGAUGGAUGAAACUG